GUGCUUGCUUCAGCAGUGCAUAUGCUACAACUGAAAUGAUACAGAGAUUAGCAUGGCCCCUGCUCAAGGAUGACACGCAAAUUCGUGAAGCGUUCCUUUUUUUU
ensembl:snRNA U6 U6 spliceosomal RNA